AACGCAUCUUGCACUCUCUGGUAUUCCGGAGAGUAUGUCUGUUUGAGUGUCAUGAAUUCUUCAACCCUCCCUUUUCUUAGUGAAUUGAGAGGAGUUUGGAUUCUGAGUGUUGCUCCUUACACGAGCUCAUUCGUAAUAUAUUAGCAUCCAUAUUCGAAUUUCGGAUUGACUUGGCGUAAUAGACUAUUCGCUGAGGAAUCUAACUUCGGUUAGAGCCGUAUUUGAAAAAGGAAGCUGCUAAACUAGCUUAGUCUACUUUUAGAUUAGAUCUCAAAUCAGGCAGGAUUACCCGCUGAACUUAA
rnacentral:misc_RNA from 1 species